CCUUUAAGGUAUCAUGCUCUAAAGACACCAGAUCCCAUCUGAUUUUGGAAGCUAAGCAGGACCAGCCCUGGUUGGGACUUGGAUGGGAGACCACCAAUAAAAUAUCAGGUGUAGAAAGCU
rnacentral:rRNA from 11 species